AUUGAACGCUGGCGGCAGGCCUAACACAUGCAAGUCGAACGAGUGGCGGACGGGUGAGUAAUGUCUGGGAAACUGCCUGAUGGAGGGGGAUAACUACUGGAAACGGUAGCUAAUACCGCAUACCAUCGGAUGUGCCCAGAUGGGAUUAGCUAGUAGGUGGGGUAAAGGCUCACCUGGGCGACGAUCCCUAGCUGGUCUGAGAGGAUGACCAGCCACACUGGAACUGAGACACGGUACAGACUCCUACGGGAGGCAGCAGUGGGGAAUAUUGCACAAGGGGCGCAAGCCUGAUGCAGCCAGGCCGCGUGUAUGAAGAAGGCCUUCGGGUUGUAAAGUACUUUCAGCGGGGAGGCGUUACUCGCAGAAGAAGCACCGGCUAACUCCGUGCCAGCAGCCGCGGUAAUAC
rnacentral:rRNA from 1 species